GUGAGCUGGGUUCAGAACGUCGUGAGACAGUUCGGUCCCUAUCUGCCGUGGGUGUUGGAAUAUUGAGAGGAUUUGUCCCUAGUACGAGAGGACCGGGAUGAACGUACCUCUGGUGGAGCUGUUGUCGCGCCAGCGGCAGUGCAGCAUAGCUAUGUACGGACGGGAUAACCGCUGAAAGCAUCUAAGCGGGAAACCCACCUCAAAACGAGUAUUCCCUUGAGAACCGUGGAAGACGACCACGUUGAUAGGCCGGGUGUGGAAGUGCAGUAAUGCAUGUAGCUUACCGGUACUAAUCGUUCGAUUGGCUUGAUUGC
rnacentral:rRNA from 1 species